rnacentral:lncRNA from 1 species
ACUGCACUCCAGCCUGGGCGACAGAGUGAGACUCCAUCUCAAAAAAAAAAAAAAAAAGAAAUACCAGGUGAAGCAUAUGCCCUGCAAGCUUAGGGGUGCUACAGUUGACCACUGCAGCAGUAAAGAUGACUGAAGAAUGGCAUGGGAUGGAUCCUUUCGAAUGCACUUGAGCAGCAGUCUCCAAACACAGGGCCACAGAGCCAGAGAAUGUAUUUGUCACUUCCAGCUGAAUCUACCAUGAAAGACUUCUGAAUCCAGGAAAAGAGACUGACUGGGUAACAUGUUAUUCAGGAGAUGGGGUCUCACCCUGUCACCCAGGCUUGAGUACAGU